AGGAUUCCCCUAGUAACUGCGAGUGAAGCGGGAAAAGCUCAAAUUUAAAAUCUGGCGGUCUUUGGCUGUCCGAGUUGUAGUCUGGAGAAGCGUUUUCCGUGCUGGACCGUGUACAAGUCUCCUGGAACGGAGCGUCAUAGAGGGUGAGAAUCCCGUCUUUGACACGGACUACCAGUGCUUUUGUGAUGCGCUCUCAAAGAGUCGAGUUGUUUGGGAAUGCAGCUCAAAAUGGGUGGUAAACUCCAUCUAAAGCUAAAUAUUGGCGAGAGACCGAUAGCGAACAAGUACCGUGAGGGAAAGAUGAAAAGCACUUUGGAAAGAGAGUUAAACAGUACGUGAAAUUGCUGAAAGGGAAACGCUUGAAGUCAGUCGCGUUUGCUAGGACUCAGCCUUGCCUCGGCUAAGGUGCAUUUCCUAGUAGACGGGCCAGCAUCACUUUUGGCUGCGGGAAAAAGGUCAGAGGAAUGUGGCACCUCCGGGUGUGUUAUAGCCUCUGGCUGUAUACCGUGGCUGGGAGUGAGGAACUCGGCACGCCUUUAUGGCGGGGCUUCGGCCACCUUCGUGCUUAGGAUGCUGGCGUAAUGGCUUUAAACGACCCGUCUUGAAACACGGACCAAGGAGUCUAACAUGCCUGCGAGUGUUUGGGUGGAAAACCCGAGCGCGUAAUGAAAGUGAUAGUUGGGACCUCUGUCGUGGAGGGCACCGACGCCCGGACCAGACCUUCUGUGACGGAUCCGCGGUAGAGCAUGUAUGUUGGGACCCGAAAGAUGGUGAACUAUGCCUGAAUAGGGUGAAGCCAGAGGAAACUCUGGUGGAGGCUCGUAGCGAUUCUGACGUGCAAAUCGAUCGUCAAAUUUGGGUAUAGGGGCGAAAGAC
rnacentral:rRNA from 1 species